rnacentral:rRNA from 1 species
UACGUAGGGACCGAGCGUUGUCCGGAUUCAUUGGGCGUAAAGAGCUCGUAGGCGGCCACUCAAGUCGAAUGUGAAACCUCGAGGCUUAACCUCGAGCCUGCAUUCGAUACUGGGCGGCUAGAGUCUGGUAGGGGGAUCUGGAAUUCCUGGUGUAGCGGUGGAAUGCGCAGAUAUCGGGAGGAACACCAGUGGCGAAGGCGACUUCCUGGCCUGCUCUUGACGCUGAGGCGCGAAAGCUAGGGGAGCAAACGGG